GCCGUACUAGAGAAAUGGUUAACUCGUCGGCCUCCUAAUUGCCUAUGCAAUGAAAGCCGAAGAUUCCCGGUUCGAGUCCGGGGUGCGGUG